rnacentral:rRNA from 1 species
CAAGCGGUGGAUGAUGUGGAUUAAUUCGAUGCAACGCGAAAAACCUUACCUACCCUUGACAUGUCUGGAAUCCCGAAGAGAUUUGGGAGUGCUCGCAAGAGAACCGGAACACAGGUGCUGCAUGGCUGUCGUCAGCUCGUGUCGUGAGAUGUUGGGUUAAGUCCCGCAACGAGCGCAACCCUUGUCAUUAGUUGCUACGAAAGGGCACUCUAAUGAGACUGCCGGUGACAAACCGGAGGAAGGUGGGGAUGACGUCAAGUCCUCAUGGCCCUUAUGGGUAGGGCUUCACACGUCAUACAAUGGUCGGGACAGAGGGUCGCCAACCCGCGAGGGGGAGCCAAUCCCAGAAACCCGAUCGUAGUCCGGAUCGCAGUCUGCAACUCGACUGCGUGAAGUCGGAAUCGCUAGUAAUCGCGGAUCAGCAUGUCGCGGUGAAUACGUUCCCGGGUCUUGUACACACC